CCAUAGCCCCGAUUGAAAUGAAAAUCCUUUUUUGCAAAAAAAGAUUGCAAUGGAAAGCGGGAAAAGCU
rnacentral:sRNA from 1 species